CCUUAGAUGUUCUGGGCUGCACGCGCGUUACACUGACGGAGCCAGCGAGUACUUCCUUGACCGAGAGGUCCGGGUAAUCUUGUUAAACUCCGUCGUGCUGGGGAUAGAGCAUUGCAAUUAUUGCUCUUCAACGAGGAAUCCCUAGUAAGCGCAAGUCAUCAGCUUGCGUUGAUUACGUCCCUGCCCUUUGUACACACCGCCCGUCGCUACUACCGAUUGAAUGGCUCAGUGAGGCGUUCGGACUGGCCCAGAGAGGUGGGCAACUACCACUCAGGGCCGGAAAGUUCUCCAAACUCGGUCAUUUAGAGGAAGUAAAAGUCGUAACAAGGUCUCCGUUGGUGAACCAGCGGAGGGAUCAUUA
rnacentral:rRNA from 1 species